UUGUAACAAGGUCUCCGUAGGUGAACCUGCGGAGGGAUCAUUACACAAAUAUGAAGGCGGGCUGGAACCUCUCGGGGUUACAGCCUUGCUGAAUUAUUCACCCUUGUCUUUUGCGUACUUCUUGUUUCCUUGGUGGGUUCGCCCACCACUAGGACAAACAUAAACCUUUUGUAAUUGCAAUCAGCGUCAGUAACAAAUUAAUAAUUACAACUUUCAACAACGGAUCUCUUGGUUCUGGCAUCGAUGAAGAACGCAGCGAAAUGCGAUAAGUAGUGUGAAUUGCAGAAUUCAGUGAAUCAUCGAAUCUUUGAACGCACAUUGCGCCCUUUGGUAUUCCAAAGGGCAUGCCUGUUCGAGCGUCAUUUGUACCCUCAAGCUUUGCUUGGUGUUGGGCGUCUUGUCUCUAGCUUUGCUGGAGACUCGCCUUAAAGUAAUUGGCAGCCGGCCUACUGGUUUCGGAGCGCAGCACAAGUCGCACUCUCUAUCAGCAAAGGUCUAGCAUCCAUUAAGCCUUUUUCAACUUUGACCUCGAUCAGUAGU
rnacentral:rRNA from 1 species